rnacentral:rRNA from 1 species
AUUGAACGCUGGCGGCACGCCUAACACAUGCAAGUCGAGCGGCAGCGCGAUAUGUAGCAAUACAUAUUGGCGGCGAGCGGCGGACGGGUGAGGAACACGUAGGAACCUACCCUCGAGUGGGGGAUAACCAAGGGAAACUUUGGCUAAUACCGCAUGAUUUCGAGAGAGCAAAGCUGCCGCAAGGUGGCGCUCGAGGAGGGGCCUGCGUCCGAUUAGCUAGUUGGUGAGGUAAGAGCUCACCAAGGCAAUGAUCGGUAACUGGUCUGAGAGGACGACCAGUCACACUGGGACUGAGACACGGCCCAGACUCCUACGGGAGGCAGCAGUGGGGAAUAUUGGACAAUGGGGGCAACCCUGAUCCAGCGAUGCCGCGUGAGUGAAGAAGGCCUUCGGGUCGUAAAGCUCUUUAGGUUGGGAAGAAGAGUGAUGGAGGAAAUGCUAUCACUUUGACGGUACCGACAGAAUAAGCACCGGCAAACUCUGUGCCAGCCGCCGCUGUAAAAC